AUGGGGGCUGAGACAGGGCCUGGGCUUCAGUCUCUGAGGUCCGGGGAGGCUGGCACUGUGGCCCCGGAGCAGUCGAGCACGCUACUGCAGUUUCUACGGGAAUUUUCACAGCAGACCAUCUCUAGGACCCAUGAAAUCAAGAAACAAGUGGACAGACUGAUUCAGGAGACGAAAGCCACGGAUUGUCACCUUCAUAGUGUCUUCAAUGACUUCCUCAUGCUGGCCACUACCCAGUGUAUUGAGACACAGUGCACGACGAAGAAGUAG
rnacentral:lncRNA from 1 species